rnacentral:rRNA from 1 species
UACGGAGGGGGCAAGCGUUGUUCGGAAUUACUGGGCGUAAAGCGGGUGUAGGCGGCCUCGCAAGUCAGAUGUGAAAUCCCUGGGCCCAACCCAGGAACUGCAUUUGAUACUGCUUGGCUCGAGUCCCGGAGAGGAUGGCGGAAUUCCACGUGUAGCGGUGAAAUUCGUAGAUAUGUGGAGGAACACCAGCGGCGAAGGCGGCCAUCUGGACGGUGACUGACGCUCAGACCAGAAAGCGUGGGGAGCAAACAGG